rnacentral:rRNA from 1 species
GAUGAACGCUGGCGGCGUGCCUAACACAUGCAAGCCGAGCGAUUCUCUUCGGAGAAGAGCGGCGGACGGGUGAGUAACGCGUGGGUAACCUGCCCUGUACACACGGAUAACAUACCGAAAGGUAUGCUAAUACGAGAUAAUAUGCUUUUAUCGCAUGGUAGAAGUAUCAAAGCUCCGGCGGUACAAGAUGGACCCGCGUCUGAUUAGCUAGUUGGUAAGGUAACGGCUUACCAAGGCGACGAUCAGUAGCCGACCUGAGAGGGUGAUCGGCCACAUUGGAACUGAGACACGGUCCAAACUCCUACGGGAGGCAGCAGUGGGGAAUAUUGCACAAUGGGCGAAAGCCUGAUGCAGCAACGCCGCGUGAGCGAUGAAGGCCUUCGGGUCGUAAAGCUCUGUCCUCAAGGAAGAUAAUGACGGUACUUGAGGAGGAAGCCCCGGCUAACUACGUGCCAGCCGCCGCGGUAA